GAUGAACGCUAGCGGCAGGCUUAACACAUGCAAGUCGAGGGGUAGAGUUAGCUUGCUAACUUGAGACCGGCGCACGGGUGCGUAACGCGUAUGCAAUCUACCUUGUACAGAGGGAUAGCCCAGAGAAAUUUGGAUUAAUACCUCAUAGUAUUAUUGAAUGGCAUCAUUUGAUUAUUAAAGUUCCAACGGUACAAGAUGAGCAUGCGUCCCAUUAGCUAGAUGGUAAGGUAACGGCUUACCAUGGCAACGAUGGGUAGGGGUCCUGAGAGGGGGAUCCCCCACUCUGGUACUGAGACACGGACCAGACUCCUACGGGAGGCAGCAGUGAUGAAUAUUGGUCAAUGGGCGCAAGCCUGAACCAGCCAUGCCGCGUGCAGGAAGACGGUCCUAUGGAUUGUAAACUGCUUUUAUACGGGAAGAAACCCUGCUACGUGUAGCAGCUUGACGGUACCGUAAGAAUAAGCAUCGGCUAACUCCGUGCCAGCCGCCGCAGUAA
rnacentral:rRNA from 1 species